UCGGCUCCUCAUGGUCAGCGACUCAGGCUGGAGGGUCUUGGACUUUCCCAAGGGCCCAGCCCAACCAGAGACAGUGGGGGAAGGAAGGAGCCUGCCAUCCAGAGUGUUGGGAUUUUUCUCAAACUCGUGGCUCUCCUGCUUCCCUGAACAAACUGGCCCCCCACCCCAAAUGUCACCUGAAGGCAGAGACCAAACACAUUAUAAUUGUAUAUUUCCCAAGUUUCAACUUGAAGCUCAUUUGUACAAAGCACAAUCAAGAAGAAGAGAAUUUUAGAAGAUCACUACUCCGGCAUUCAAAGCACCCAGCACCCAGUGAAUACUUUUUGCAAGUUUAGGAAUCAAAAACAGACUAGAGUUGAGACAUCAGUGAAAGCAGGUGAAAGGUACCAGGUACAACAAAGGACUCCAGUGUUUCUGAAGCACAGACAGUGGUGCUGCAGAAUCAAAGGAAAAGGAUGGCUCGGCUUUUCAUGGGUAAUGGUAAAGAAGGUUUUGGGGAUGGAACAAAAUUUGUCAAUGAGAGAGUCAUCACAGGUGGAAAAAAAUAAAGGCAGAAAGCUUUGAGGCACUGAAAAAGAGCCAUAGUGUCUCUGAACA